CACCAGUGAAAGAGGGGAAGUUGCUACUGUGAUGAAUUCUGCCAUGUGGUACCAGACUGCUGCCCAGACCACAGUGUCCUCUGCAACCCUGCUUCUCAGAUGACCAAGAUGGUGCUGCCGAUGGUGUUGAGGACGGAGAACCCACCAAGCCCCGUUAGGAGCCACCUAGACUGGAUGCAGAGCACAGAUUCUGGAUGUAUACAGAUGUUCCUCAUCUUAGGAAGGGGUUACAUCCCAAUAAACAUGUGGCUAAAACCUUUGAAGAGGAAUUUAUUAUAUCCUACAAACCUGGGAGGCAGAGGUUGCAGUGAGCCAAGUUCGGUCCAUUGCACUCCAGCCUGGGCAACAAGAAUGAAACUCUGUCUCAAAAAAACAAAAGUUGGCUAGGGCCAGGUGUGGUGGCUCACACCUGUAAUCCCAGCACUUUGGGAGGCUAAAGCAGGCGGAUCACCUGAGGUCAGAAGUACAGGACCAUCCUGGCUAAUAUGGUGAAACCCCAUCUCUAC
rnacentral:lncRNA from 1 species